rnacentral:ncRNA from 1 species
UAGGGGGACAGGGUUCGGCUCCCCUCCUGGAACCCAGGGUAACUCUUAAGGUGGAGGGACU